rnacentral:rRNA from 1 species
UACGAAGGGGGCUAGCGUUGUUCGGAAUCACUGGGCUUAAAGGGCGCGUAGGCGGCCUGCCAAGUCAGGGGUGAAAGCCCCCAGCUCAACUGGGGAAGUGCCUUUGAUACUGGCGGGCUCGAGCGAGGCAGGGGUCGUGGGAACUUCCGGUGGAGCGGUGAAAUGCGUUGAUAUCGGAAGGAACGCCGGUGGCGAAAGCGCACGACUGGUCCUCUUCUGACGCUGAGGCGCGAAAGCCAGGGGAGCAAACGGG